UAACUCAAACUCAAGAUGGGAAAGGAGAAGACUCACAUCAACAUCGUUGUCAUUGGACAGGUAGAUUCCGGCAAGUCUACCACUGCCGGUCAUCUCAUCUACAAAUGUGGUGGGGUCGACAAAAGAACCAUCGAGAAAUUUGAGAAGGAGGCUGCUGAGAUGGGGAACGACUCUUUCAAGCAUGCCUGGGUCUUGGAUAAACGGAAAGCAGAAUGGGAGCAAAUAUCACCAUUGAUAUCUCCCUGUGGAAAUUCAAGACCAGCAAGCAUUAUGUAACCAUCACUGAUGCCCCAGGGCACAGAGACUUCAUCAAAAACAUGAUAGGCACGUCUCAGGCUGACGGUGCUGUCCUGACUAUUGCUGCUGGUGUUGGUGAAUUUGAAGCAGACAUCUCCAAGAAUGAACAGACCCGUGAGCAUGCCCUCCUGGCCUACACACUGGGUGUGAAGCAGCUGAUUGUUGGUGUUAACAAAAUGGAUUCCACUGAGCCACCCUUACAGCCAGGAAAGAUACGAGGAAAUUGUUAAAGAAGUCAGUACCUUCAUUAAGAAAAUUGGCUACAACCCUGACACAGUGGCAUUUGAACCAAUUUCUGGUUGGAAUGGUGACAACAUGCUGGAGCCAAGUGCUCAUAUGUCUUGGUUCAAGGGAUGGAAGGUCACCCGUAAAGAUGGCAGUGCCAGUGGAACCACACUGCUUGAAGCUCUGGAUUGCAUCCUGCCACCAACUCAUCCAACUGACAAGCCCCUGCAUCUGCCCCUCCAGGAUGUCUACAAAAUUGGUGGUAUUGGUACUGUUCCUGUGGGCAGAGUGGAGACUGGUGUUCUCAAGCCCGGCAUGGUGGUCACCUGUGCUCCAGUCAAUGUUUCGACUGAAGUAAAGUCUGUUGAAAUGCACCAUGAAGCUUUUGAGUGAAGCCCUUCCUGAGGACAAUGUGGGCUUCAACAUCAAGAGCGUGUCUGUCAAAGAUGUUCGCCAUGGCAAUGUGGCUGGUGACAGCAAAAAUGAUCCACCAAUGGAAGCAGCUGGCUUCACAGCUCAGGUGAUUAUCCUGAACCACCCAGGCCAGAUCAGUGCUGUAUAUGCACCUAUGCUGGAUUGUCACACAGCUCACAUUGCUUGCAAAUUUGCUGAGCUGAAGGAGAUUGAUUGUUGUUCUGGGAAAAAAGCUGGAAGAUGGCCCCACGUUUUUGAAAUCUGGUAAUGCUGCCAUCAUUGAUAUGAUUACUGGCAAGCCCGUGUGUGUUGAGAGCUUCUCUUACUACCCUCCUCUGGGCUGUUUCGAUGUUCGUGACAUGAGACAGACAGUUGCUGUGGGUGUCAUCAAAGCAGUGGACAAGAAGGCAGCUAGCUGGAGCUGGCAAAGUCACCAAGUCUGCCCAGAAAACUCAGAAGGCUAAAUGAAUAUUAUUCCCAAUACAUACCUGCCACCCCAGUCUUAAUCGGUGGUAGAAGAACGGUCUCAGAACUGUUUGUCUCAAUUGGCCAUUUAAGUUUAAUAGUAAAAGACUGGUUAAUAAUUACAAUGCAUUGUAAAACCUUGAGAAGAAAAGAAGAAUGUUUUGUGGACCAUUUGGUUCUUUUGUGUGUGUGGCAGUUUUUAAGUUAUUAGUUUUUAAAAUCAGUACUUUUUAAUGGAAACAACAUGACCAAAAAUCUGUCACAGAAGUUUGAGACCCAUUAAAAUAACAAAGUUUAAUGAGAAA